UACGGAGGGGGCGAGCGUUAUUCGGAAUUAUUGGGCGUAAAGGGCGCGUAGGCGGCUGGGCAAGUCAAAGGUGAAAUCCCUCGGCUCAACUGAGGAACUGCCUUUGAAACUGCCUGGCUUGAGGCCGGGAGGGGGUAGCGGAAUUCCCAGUGUAGCGGUGAAAUGCGUAGAUAUCUGGAGGAACACCGGUGGCGAAGGCGGCAUCCUGGACCGGUAUUGACGCUGAGGCGCGAAAGCCAGGGGAGCAAACGGG
rnacentral:rRNA from 1 species